AUUGGGGGCAACGCGAAGAACCUUACCUACUCUUGACAUCCAGAGAACUUUCCAGAGAUGGAUUGGUGCCUUCGGGAACUCUGAGACAGGUGCUGCAUGGCUGUCGUCAGCUCGUGUUGUGUAAUGUUGGGUUAAGUCCCGCAACGAGCGCAACCCUUAUCCUUGUUUGCCAGCGAGUAAUGUCGGGAACUCCAGGGACCCCGCCGGUGAUAAACCGGAGGAAGGUGGGGACGACGUCAAGUCAUCAUGGCCCUUACGAGUAGGGCUACACACGUUCUACAAUGGCGCAUACAGAGGGCAGCCAACUUGCGAGAGUGAGCGAAUCCCAAAAAGUGCGUCGUAGUUCGGAUCGGAGUCUGCAACUCGACUCCAUGAAGUCGGAAUCGAAAAUAAUCGUGGAUCAGAAUGCCACGGUGAAUA
rnacentral:rRNA from 1 species